rnacentral:lncRNA from 1 species
UUUUGGCGCGCAAAACCCCAAAGCAAACGCUGUCACUCGAGUUCCGUCCGUUGCACGCCACAGUUGACGGGCCACACUGUUUGACAGUCGCGUUUCACCACUAACAACUGAGUUUUUUUUUUUCAUUUUCUCACGAAUUUCUUCAACCAAAAAGGUUUUUCGCUCCGGGCAGGACAACCUUCGCAAGACCGACCCCGCAGGACAAGUUUUAUUAAUUUCUUUCGGUGUAAUGUUUAGUCUAUUUAUCAUGUAGGAUUUUUUACUUCGUUCUUCUUUUUAGGUUGAACUCAAUGACGAAAGGAUUGCGCAGAAAAGGAUUACCCUUUCCGGAGACGACCCUUUGGCCAGUUUUGAGCGUUCAAAGGAGAGAGCGCCGAGGUCAUCAGUGUCACCACUGGUCACUUUUUCACCUGGACAAGAGGGGGUUAGAGCUAUGGGUUUCCGGACAAGGGAAAGGGUAGGCUCGUCUUGGGUGGGCUUCACAUAUGCCAUCGGGACUCCUCGUGGUGGGACGACAACCGGGACAGGAAGGUGACGAUGCGUCGUGCGUUGAAUUGCUAAACAGGACAUUCGGUUGGGUGGUGACGUGGACUAGAAAAAAAUGGAAGGAAUUUGGUUCAAGGUGGUUUUGGGAUUGGUACCUGGACUUCCUUUGCGGAUAUGGAUACAAAAUAUUGAACCUUUUGGAGUUCUUUUUUUUUUCAUUUUAAGGAAGGCCGACACCGUGGGAAGCGCAAUUGUAUGCAAAUUGGGAGCGCUCAAUCAAUUUUGACGGAGCGCGAGGGAAUAAAGUGAUUUGAGUGGAGGUUAUGAAAUGCAUACUGAUUUUCUCUUUCGGAACUGAAGAACAUGAACAUGUUGUAAUUUUUACACAAAAAUAAAUCUGAGAAGUAAAUGUGACGAUAUCACAAUUUGUAUGUGAAA